GGAAGGGAAUGAGAUGGUCGCCCCGCCUCCUGUCCCAAGGACCCGGAGGUGGGGAGGAAAGUCCGAGCUCCACAGGGCAGGGUGGUCCGUAACACGGACAAUUCCGUCUCCCAAGAGGCGGAAGAAGGAAAGUGCCACAGAAAAGAUACCGUCCCGCCCCGCGGGAUAAGGGUGAAAAGGCGAGGUAAGAGCUCACCAGCGCCCCGAGCGAUCGAGGCGGCUUGGUAAACCCCACCCGGAGCAAGACCAAAUAGGUCCCGUUUCUCCUUGCACCAAAGCAGGGAGAGGAGAAAGGCCCAUUCAACUCCCCCUCCAACCCGGAGGGGAGACGGGACGGGUAAGGUCGCUUGAGGUCCUGAGCAAUCAGGAUCCCAGAUACAUGACCAUCCCUCCGGUCCCGUCCCUGGCGGGGCCGGAGGACAGAACUCGGCUUACGGUUCUCUCCGCUC
rnacentral:RNase_P_RNA from 1 species